rnacentral:lncRNA from 1 species
AUCUAUAAAUCUUUGUCAACAUUUUUUCUCCUUAGAAACAGAGACCUAGGCCAGGCACGGCGGCUCACGCCUAUAAUCCCAGCACUUUGGGAGGACAAGGUGGGAAGAUCACUUGAGGUCAGGAAUUUGAGACCAGCCUGGCCAACACAGCGAAACCCAGUCUCAGCUGGGCGUGGUGGUGUGUGUACCUGUAAUCCCAUCUACUUGGGAGGCUGAGGCAGGAGAAUCGCUUGAACCCGGGAGGCAGAGGUUCCAGUGAGCUAAGAUCUCCCCACUGCAAUCCAGCCUGUGCGACAGAGUGAAACUCCGUCUAAAAAGAACAAAAAAAACAAAACAAAAAAGGAAACAAGAGACCUAGAAGUGGGGUUACAGCAAAGGUUUUGAACAUUUUAAGGCUUUUGAGAACCAGAUUCAGACACUCAGUAGUUUUACAUGAGAAUGCUACAACAUCCUCACUAAGUAGUAUUUGGGUUCAUCAUAAUUUUAAAUUAUUUUGGUGUGUCAAUUUGAACACUAGAGUGAUAUAAAAACAACUAAAAACUUGAAUUCAAUAAUUUUACAAUUGUAUGGCAUCUUAAAAUAUUUUAUAGUAAACUUGGAUAAAGUAUAUAAAUAAUCCAAGGGUGUAAAGUAGAAAGUGAAAGCUCCCUUCUCCCAGUUCCAGCCCCGAUGUUGCCAAUAUUAAACGUUGUAUAUCCUUGCA